CAUUGAAACACCGCUUCUCGUACGAUCACAGAAGUUAAGCAACGUCUGGCCUGGUCAGUACCUAGAUGGGCGACCCUUUGGGAAUACCAGGUGUUGUAA